UUGAAAGGGAAACGAUUGAAGUCAGUCGUACCAGCGGGAAAUCAACCUUUCGAGUGGGNUUUUGGAGUUUUGAAGAGUGUCAAAACCUUUGAGAUUUCAAAAUUUUCGCUCCUUUGGUGUACUUUCUCGUGGGUAGGUUAACAUCGAUUUCGAUCAUCAUAAAAGGAUUGGAGGAAUGUAGCUUCGAUCUUGUAUUGAAGUGUUAUAGCCUUUGGUAAGUGUGAUGAUUGGGAUCGAGGAUUGCAACGAAUACCCUUUUGGGCUAUCCGCCUGAUCUCUGAUACGUGGCCUUGGCAUCGAAAGCUUGCUUAUGGUAUCAAGGUAUUACGGUCAAAAGGUUAGAACGGAUUACAUUCGUUAAGGAUGUUGACGUA
rnacentral:rRNA from 1 species